GACGAACGCUGGCGGCGUGCUUAGCACAUGCAAGUCGAACGGAAAGGCCCUGCUUUUGUGGGGUGCUCGAGUGGCGAACGGGUGAGUAACACGUGAGUAACCUGCCCUUGACUUUGGGAUAACUUCAGGAAACUGGGGCUAAUACCGGAUAGGAGCUCCUGCUGCAUGGUGGGGGUUGGAAAGUUUCGGCGGUUGGGGAUGGACUCGCGGCUUAUCAGCUUGUUGGUGGGGUAGUGGCUUACCAAGGCUUUGACGGGUAGCCGGCCUGAGAGGGUGACCGGCCACAUUGGGACUGAGAUACGGCCCAGACUCCUACGGGAGGCAGCAGUGGGGAAUAUUGCACAAUGGGCGGAAGCCUGAUGCAGAAACGCCGCGUGCGGGAUGACGGACUUCGGGUUGUAAACCGCUUUCGCCUGUGACGAAGCGUGAGUGACGGUAAUGGGUAAAGAAGCACCGGCUAACUACGUG
rnacentral:rRNA from 1 species